rnacentral:rRNA from 1 species
UACGUAGGGUGCAAGCGUUAAUCGGAAUUACUGGGCGUAAAGCGUGCGCAGGCGGUGAUGUAAGACAGGUGUGAAAUCCCCGGGCUUAACCUGGGAACUGCAUUUGUGACUGCAUCGCUGAAGUGCGGCAGAGGGGGAUGGAAUUCCGCGUGUAGCAGUGAAAUGCGUAGAUAUGCGGAGGAACACCGAUGGCGAAGGCAAUCCCCUGGGCCUGCACUGACGCUCAUGCACGAAAGCGUGGGGAGCAAACAGG